rnacentral:rRNA from 1 species
AUUGAACGCUGGCGGCAGGCCUAACACACGCAAGUCGAACGAGGGGCGGACGGGUGAGUAAUGUCUGGGACACUGCCUGAUGGAGGGGGAUAACUACUGGAAACGGUAGCUAAUACCGCAUACCAUCGGAUGUGCCCAGAUGGGAUUAGCUCGUAGGAGGGGUACAGGCUCACCUAGGCGACGAUCCCUAGCUGGUCUGAGGUGAUGACCAGCCACACUGGAACGUAGACACCGCCCAGACUCCGACGGUAGGCAGCAGUGGGGAAUAUUGCACAAUGGGCGCAAGCCUGAUGCAGCCAUGCCGCGUGUAUGAAGAAGGCCUUCGGUUUGUAAAGUACUUUCAGCGGGGAGGCGUUACCCGCAGAAGAAGCACCGGCUAACUCCGUGCCAGCAGCCGCGGUAAUUC